rnacentral:rRNA from 1 species
UCCGGUGGUGAUGGCUAAGACCUGUUCCCAUCCCGAACACAGUAGUUAAGCCCUUAUACGUCGAAAGUACUUGGCUGGAAGCGGCCUGGGAGGAUAGAUAGCUGCCGGUU